ACGUAGGGGGCGAGCGUUGUCCGGAAUUACUGGGCGUAAAGGGUGCGUAGGCGGCGCUUUAAGUUGGAUGUGAAAUACCCGGGCUUAACCUGGGGGGUGCAUUCAAAACUGGGGUGCUGGAGUGCAGAAGAGGGAAGCGGAAUUCCUAGUGUAGCGGUGAAAUGCGUAGAUAUUAGGAGGAACACCAGUGGCGAAGGCGGCUUUCUGGUCUGUAACUGACGCUGAAGCACGAAAGCGUGGGGAGCAAACAG
rnacentral:rRNA from 1 species